rnacentral:rRNA from 1 species
AGAGUUUGAUCAUGGCUCAGGCGAACGCUGGCGGCGNNCUUAACACAUGCAAGUCGAACGUGAAGCCGGAGCUUGCUCCGGUGGAAAGUGGCGAACGGGUGCGUAACACGUGAGCAACCUGCCCCGAAGACUGGGAUAACACCGGGAAACCGGUGCUAAUACCGGAUACCUUCUUCCGAUCGCAUGGUUGGACGAAGAAAUGGAUUCCGCUUCGGGAUGGGCUCGCGGCCUAUCAGCUUGUUGGUGAGGUAACGGCCCACCAAGGCGACGACGGGUAGCUGGUCUGAGAGGACGACCAGCCACACUGGGACUGAGACACGGCCCAGACUCCUACGGGAGGCAGCAGUGGGGAAUCUUGCUCAAUGGGCGAAAGCCUGAAGCAGGACGCCGCGUGCGGGAUGAAGGCCUUCGGGUUGUAAACCGCUUUCAGCAGGGACGAAAUUGACGGUACCUGCAGAAGAAGGCCCGGCCAACUACGUGCCAGCAGCCGCGGUAAUACGUAGGGGCCUAGCGUUGUCCGGAUUUAUUGGGCGUAAAGAGCUCGUAGGCGGUUUGGUGAGUCGGGUGUGAAAUCUCCACGCUCAACGUGGAGGGGCCACCCGAUACUGCCAUGACUAGAGUCCGGUAGGGGAGUGUGGAAUUCCCGGUGUAGCGGUGAAAUGCGCAGAUAUCGGGAGGAACACCAGUAGCGAAGGCGACACUCUGGGCCGGUACUGACGCUGAGGAGCGAAAGCGUGGGGAGCAAACAGGAUUAGAUACCCUAGUAGUCC